rnacentral:rRNA from 1 species
AACGAACGCUGGCGGCGCGUUUUAAGCAUGCAAGUCGAGCGGCAGGGGGCCUCGGUCCCCGAGAGCGGCGGACGGGUGAGUAACACGUGGACAACCUGCCCCCCGGUUCGGGAUAGCCCAGGGAAACCUGGAUCAAUACCGGAUGCGAGGGCGGCCGCACAAGCGGUCGUCGGGAAAGGCGCUUCGGCGCCGCCGGGGGAUGGGUCCGCGUCCCAUUAGCUAGACGGUGGGGUAACGGCCCACCGUGGCGAUGAUGGGUAGCCGGCCUGAGAGGGUGGACGGCCACAUUGGAACUGAGACACGGUCCAGACUCCUACGGGAGGCAGCAGUGAGGAAUAUUGCGCAAUGGGGGCAACCCUGACGCAGCAACGCCGCGUGAGUGAGGAAGGUUUUCGGACUGUAAAGCUCUGUCGAGCGGGAAGAAGUGUACCAUGGCUAAUAUCCAUGAUAUUUGACGGUACCGCUAGAGGAAGCACCGGCUAACUCCGUG